ACACUUCACAUUAAGCGGGCAGGGCCUAUAUGGGUCCUGCCCGUUUCGGCGGGAUAUGGCGAUAAAUUGCGCCGUGAAAUAGGUACAGCGGACCCGGGGGCAGUACCCGGCGGCUCCACCAAGAAUGGCGGGAAACUGCCAUUCCUGACGGGGCCGAACCAGGAUCGACGUGUGCUGAAAGACGGUGUUUUCGUUCGGGCUGAGUACCCCGUAAAACUGUUCAAAACACACAAGUGCCAACGAUAACGAAGCACUCGCUCUCGCAGCGUAACCUGACGGCCUAACGGCCUGAUCUUACAAAGCUAAAGCGCGGUUGGACCCACCGGGCAACAGAAGCGGAUUCCG
rnacentral:tmRNA from 1 species